CCCUAGCCCCGAUAGGAGCGGAAAUCCUUCUGCUUUUUUCUUUAAAAAGCAGAAGAUUGCAGCGGAUAGCGGGAAACAGA
rnacentral:sRNA from 1 species